GAGUCCAUGACGUGUGGGCCCCCCUUGCGCAGCUCGUUCUCCCACCUCGGUGCAGGAAUCAUAUCUUAGCGCAACAAACGCUCGAGCUCAACGUCCUCCCAGGAAUCCGCGCGGGCAUCGGUUGAGGACCCCAUCCCCACGCCUCGGGAUCGUUCCUCGCCCAUAUAUACCCAAGCGAGACCCCCCUGAAGCCAUAGCCCAAGCCAUCGUCGCCCCACCACCGUCGCGGAGGAGAAACGAAUUUCGCCGCCGCGGUCAAAUCCCAAGUACGCCGCAUCCAAUCCUUCGAAGGGUGGUCGGGGACAUCCGUUGCAUCUCCUUGGAUGCUCCCAUGGCUGCGUCGGGGGGAAAUCGACUGUUGGGGCGCCCCCGAUUGCUCGUCGUCGUUCAAAUCCGGCCACUAGCCGCCAUUCACCGCGUGGCACCCUCUCUCCAUCUCCUCCUCCGGUUUUCUGCAAGGGAUGGUUGAUGGUUUAACUUAGCCCUCCACCCUGCCAUCAGGUUGGACGGUUGAGUGGAAGGAUGCUACCUCUACAGGAGAGGACCAGGAGGAGUGAUUUGGUCAGGCUUUACCAUGUUAUUCUUUUACCCUCGUUAGUUAUUUCUGCUGCAAAAAACUAUGGUUACUACUUUUAAACUCCGAAUGAUGUAAUCACUAUUGGUAUCUUUAAAUUAUGGUAUUAUGUUUUAUUGUA